rnacentral:misc_RNA from 1 species
GAUGAAGAACGUAGCGAAACGCGAUAGUUAAUGUGAAUUGCAGAAUUCAGUGAAUCAUCGAGUCUUUGAACGCACAUUGCGCCCCUCGGUAUUCCGGAGGGCAUGUCUGUUUGAGCGUCAUUUCAACCCUCGCUUUAAGCGGUAUUGAGCUUUGAGUCUAUAGCAUACUUGCAAAUGGACUCAGCUUUAAAGUUGAAUGCUUGCAGACGAAUGGCUUGAUUAGCAUAGUAUAAUCUUUUGAUUGUCCUGUUUUUCAUAAAAUUCGUCUUGCCAAAACCUAAUUUCUUAAUUUUGACCUCAGAUCAGAUAAGGAUACCCGCUGAACUUAAGCAUAUCAAUAAGCGGAGGA